rnacentral:lncRNA from 1 species
AUGAAAAUCGAAGGAACUACUCUCCAGAGACCUCUACUCCUAAAUCAGAUCAUGCAACUUUCCUGCUCACUCACCAAGUUCCCAUCAAAGGUUGAAUGGAACACGUACUACUUGGGGCCCCUCUAUGAUCUGGCUUUGGCUCCUCCUUUAACCUCACAGUCUGCCCUGGAUGCUGAUAUGGUCAACAAGCAAGUUUCCAGCUCAGGGCCAACAUUCUUGCUCUUUCCACUGCCUUGGGCAGCCUUACUACAGAUUCCAGUGUGGCUGGCUCACUUCCUUUACAUCUGUCCUGACCACGCCAACUAAAACAUCAAUUCCCCGAGACCCUGAACGAGUUAACAGUGCACCCAUACAUAAAAGGACAUGCUGGAUUUUGUGUUGAAGGAAAAAAAGAGUACCUUUCCUAUCGCUCAACCAGCAAGUAUUGGUGCUUUCCUAAAUAUUGUUCACUUUCCCAACUGGAAGGUAAUGCCCAAACCAUUCACAGAAACUCCAGUAGUCUCCCUUAUUACAGCACCAAAAUACAAGAGCAACGACCACGGCAAUUAAGAUGUCAAAGACAAGUCAGACAGUGCUUCCUCUAAGUGCAAAGGUGAAAGCUAUCCACAUAAGGGAAGAAAAUAAACUAUGAUGAGGCUGCUAACAUUUAUAAUAAAAUAGUUUAAGAAAGCCUAUAUUCAUGUAAACUUUAUUAUACUGCAGUAUACUGAUAUAAAUGUUCCAUUUUAUUAUUAAUUAGAGUUAACC